CAGGCAGAAAUAGAUCCAGCAAAGAAGACACGAGCAGUUCUGCAACAAAGGCUUCCAUGUCAGAGGCAGCAAAGGAGAUGGUAGAAAAGGCCUUGCUUAAGAAGCCUGGAGGAGAGGAUAUUCUUGAAGAGUACAAGUCAGAAAAUUCACUAAUGCACCGCACUCGGAGACAGCUUGUCAACAUAUUGGCGAGUGAUAUUACUGAGAAACAUGGUAGGAUUCCUUCCCAUCAGCAGAAGGAGAAGUAUGCCCUGGGAAUUAUUACACUCUUUCC